rnacentral:misc_RNA from 1 species
AACGAGGCCGACCUGCGGCUGAGUUACCUGCGGAAGGAUCAUUACAAGAGUUGCAAAACUCCCAAACCCACUGUGAAUCUACCUGUCUUGUUGCUUCGGCGGGCAGCCCCAGGGCGGGGCCACGCCCGGGAAUGUCCCCGGGUGUCCGCCGGAGGUGAUCAAAACUCGUUAUUUUGGUGUCUUCUGAGUUUUUUGCACAAGCAAAAUCAGUCAAAACUUUCAGCAACGGAUCUCAGAUCG